UCAGGGGACAGUACACGAGAAAUGCCACAAUACAUGAUGAAGCCAUCAUCUCCAAUGGGAAUUUUGGAGGGGACAAAGAACUAACAUGUUCCUGCUGGCUUGCAGGGGGAUCGCGGGAAGGAUGGCUUGAAAGGCGAAAGAGGUCCUCCAGGCCCAAAGGGAGAACCCGGUCCACCAGGCAAAGGAGUGGAAAUGAAGGAUCUGGAGAGGCUUUUUGAAGCAAAUGGUAUCAAGCUGGCACUGCUGAAGGACCUCUCCAAUGCACUCCUGCAGGAUGGGCUGGUGUGGCAACUGGGUGGCUCCAGGACAAGCAAGACCUCCGGGAGAAAGCAAGCAGUUCUUCAUGCUACUGAGCAUGGCGAUUCACUGGUGUUUGAUACUUCUCCUGAUGCCCUGGCCAGCACUGAGGCAACAGAAGAAGCACAGAGCCUGGAGGUGGAGGCUCAGUUUAGGGUGCCGGUGUCUGGAGGACUCCUUAAGGGUCCGUCUGCUGGUGGUUCUGAACCUGAGUACCAGCCCCUAGGAAACCCUCCUGAGUCCUUGGAGAAAACAUCUGAGGAAGGAAAGGAGGAGAGAGACUCAAGAUGGACAAUCACUUCUCUCAGUAGUGAAAAUGAGAAUUUAGACGACGGCUCUGCGCUCCCAAGGCUCAUUAGAGCCCAGAGAUCUGCUGAGGACCAGAGGCACAUGGUAAAGACCCCGUUUCACCACGACAGCUUCGGGCUGGCCUUUGUGCAAGAGCAGAGCCAUCGGUGUGACCCAGGAGGAAGCGGCGACCCUUCCUUGUUGGCUCCAUCACAGGUUCAUCCCCCUGGUGCCCCGGGAGCUCGGAAAUCCCCAUCUGGAUCCACGGUGAGUGAAGACCUCAUAGAAAGGUGUCUUCAAACACAUGGAUGCAAGGGCAAUCCCACUUGCCUCCUUUCACUUGUGCAAAGUCAGGAUGAAAGUAGAGGGG
rnacentral:lncRNA from 1 species